GAGUGCUCCGAGAUGCGGUGAGAUUCCGCACCUGUGGUCAAAGCCCACAAACCAGCGCAAGCUGGCCUGGCAGGUGAAAUUCCUGCGCAGACCGUACAGUCGGGAUGGGAGGCAGCACCC
rnacentral:ncRNA from 2 species